UGCAAGUCGAACGAAGUAGCAAUACUUAGUGGCAGACGGGUGAGUAACAUGUAGGUAUCUGCCCUUUGGCCUGGAAUAACACGAGGAAACUUGUGCUAAUACCGGAUAAGUCUUUACGGAGAAAGCUUGAUGCGCCAUUGGAUGAGCCUGCACUUGAUUAGUUUGUUGGUGGGGUAAUGGCCUACCAAGACUGUGAUCAAUAGCUGAUUUGAGAGGAUGAUCAGCCACAUUGGGACUGAGACACGGCCCAAACUCCUACGGGAGGCAGCAGUGGGGAAUCUUGCACAAUGGAGGAAACUCUGAUGCAGCGAUGCCGCGUGAGUGAAGAAGGCCCUUGGGUUGUAAAGCUCUUUCGUCGGGGAAGAAAAUGACUGUACCCGAAUAAGAAGGUCCGGCUAACUUCGUGCCAGCAGCCGCGGUAAUACGAAGGGACCUAGCGUAGUUCGGAAUUACUGGGCUUAAAGAGUUCGUAGGUGGUUGAAAAAGUUGGUGGUGAAAUCCCCAGAGCUUAACUCUGGAACUGCCAUCAAAACUUUUCAGCUAGAGUAUGAUAGAGG
rnacentral:rRNA from 1 species